AGAGUUUGAUCCUGGCUCAGGAUGAACGCUGGCGGCGUGCCUAACACAUGCAAGUCGAACGGGAAGCCCGAUUUCGAUCGGGCGGAGAGUGGCGCACGGGUGAGUAACACGUAGCUUAUCUGCCCUGGAGCGGGGGAUAACCCACGGAAACGCGGGCUAAUACCCCAUAAGCUCACGCUGAACAGGUAGGUGUGAGAAAAGUUAAGGCGCUCUGGGAUGAGGUUGCGGCCCAUCAGCUGGUUGGUAGGGUAAUGGCCUACCAAGGCGACGACGGGUAGGGGGCCUGAGAGGGUGACCCCCCACACUGGGACUGAGACACGGCCCAGACUCCUACGGGAGGCAGCAGUGAGGAAUAUUGCGCAAUGGACGCAAGUCUGACGCAGCGACGCCGCGUGGGUGAAGAAGGCCUUCGGGUCGUAAAGCCCUUUUCCAGGUGACGAGCAAGGACGGUAGCCUGGGAAUAAGUGUCGGCUAACUACGUGCCAGCAGCCGCGGUAAAACGUAGGACGCAAGCGUUAUCCGGAAUUACUGGGCGUAAAGCGCGCGCAGGCGGGGUGGUGAGUCCGCCGUGAAAGCUCCCGGCUAAACUGGGAGAGGUCGGUGGAUACUGCCGCUCUGGAGGGUGUCAGAGGCGAGUGGAAUUCCGCGUGUAGUGGUGAAAUGCGUAGAGAUGCGGAGGAACACCCGUGGCGAAGGCGGCUCGCUAGGACAACCCUGACGCUGAGGCGCGAAAGCAUGGGGAGCGAACGGGAUUAGAAACCCCGGUAGUCCAUGCCGUAAACGAUGUGCACUAAACGUUCGUGCGUCCAUGUGGCGCGUGAGUGUUGCAGCUAACGCGAUAAGUGCACCGCCUGGGGAGUACGGUCGCAAGGCUAAAACUCAAAGGAAUUGACGG
rnacentral:rRNA from 1 species